rnacentral:rRNA from 1 species
CUUGAAUUUGGGUUUUUAACUUAGAUUUGGGUGGCGGACGGGUGAGUAACGCGUAAAGAACUUGCCUCACAGCUAGGGACAACAUUUAGAAAUGAAUGCUAAUACCUGAUAUUAUGAUUUUAAGGCAUCUUAGAAUUAUGAAAGCUAUAAGCACUGUGAGAGAGCUUUGCGUCCCAUUAGCUAGUUGGAGAGGUAACAGCUCACCAAGGCGAUGAUGGGUAGCCGGCCUGAGAGGGUGAACGGCCACAAGGGGACUGAGACACGGCCCUUACUCCUACGGGAGGCAGCAGUGGGGAAUAUUGGACAAUGGACCGAGAGUCUGAUCCAGCAAUUCUGUGUGCACGAUGAAGUUUUUCGGAAUGUAAAGUGCUUUCAGUUGGGAAGAAAUAAAUGACGGUACCAACAGAAGAAGUGACGGCUAAAUACGUGCCAGCAGCCGCGGUAAUACGUAUGUCACGAGCGUUAUCCGGAUUUAUUGGGCGUAAAGCGCGUCUAGGUGGUUAUGUAAGUCUGAUGUGAAAAUGCAGGGCUCAACUCUGUAUUGCGUUGGAAACUGUAUAACUAGAGUACUGGAGAGGUAAGCGGAACUAC